AAAUCCGCCGCUCUUUAGAGCGCGCGGGUGGCAGUCUCAC
rnacentral:sRNA from 1 species